rnacentral:rRNA from 1 species
UACGAAGGGUGCCAAGCGUUAUCCGGAUUUAUUGGGUUAAAGGGUGCGUAGGCGGCUUAUUAAGUCAGUGGUGAAAGCCCGUAGCUCAACUACGGAACUGCCAUUGAUACUGAUGAGCUUGAAUAUACUUGAGGUUGGCGGAAUGUGUCAUGUAGCGGUGAAAUGCUUAGAUAUGACACAGAACACCGAUUGCGAAGGCAGCUAGCUAAAGUAUGAUUGACGCUGAUGACACGAAAGGCGUGGGGAGCAAACAGG